UACGGGGGGGGUAAGCGUUGUUCGGAAUUACUGGGCGUAAAGGGCUCGUAGGCGGCCAACUAAGUCAGACGUGAAAUCCCCAGGCUCAACCUGGGAACUGCGUCUGAUACUGGAUGGCUUGAAUUCGGGAGAGGGAUGCAGAAUUCCAGGUGUAGCGGUGAAAUGCGUAGAUAUCUGGAGGAAUACCGGUGGCGAAGGCGGCAUCCUGGACCGACAUUGACGCUGAUGAGCGAAAGCUAGGGGAGCAAACGGG
rnacentral:rRNA from 1 species